ACGCUCGACACCUACGGCAGGCAGCAGUGGGGAAUAUUGCACAAUGGGGGAAACCCUGAUGCAGCGACGCCGCGUGAGCGAAGAAGUAUUUCGGUAUGUAAAGCUCUAUCAGCAGGGAAGAAAAUGACGGUACCUGACUAAGAAGCCCCGGCUAACUACGUGCAGCAGCCGCGGUAAUCUGAGCGGGCUGGCAAGGC
rnacentral:rRNA from 1 species